UACGUAGGGGGCAAGCGUUGUCCGGAAUUAUUGGGCGUAAAGAGUGUGUAGGCGGUGUUCUAAGUUUGUCGUGAAAUCUCCCGGCUUAACUGGGAGGGUGCGGCGAAAACUGGAAUGCUAGAGGAUGGGAGAGGUAAGCGGAAUUCCUGGUGUAGCGGUGAAAUGCGUAGAUAUCAGGAGGAACACCUGUGGUGUAGACAGCUUACUGGACCAUUUCUGACGCUGAGACACGAAAGCGUGGGUAGCAAACAGG
rnacentral:rRNA from 1 species